rnacentral:rRNA from 1 species
GACAGAGGGUGCAAACGUUGUUCGGAAUUACUGGGCGUAAAGCGCGUGUAGGCGGCCCUGUAAGUCGGGUGUGAAAUCCCGGGGCUCAACCCCGGAACUGCCUUUAAAACUGUUGGUCUGGAGGUCGAGAGAGGUGAGUGGAAUUCCGAGUGUAGAGGUGAAAUUCGUAGAUAUUCGGAAGAACACCAGUGGCGAAGGCGGCCUGCUGGGCUGUUGCUGACGCUGAGGCGCGACAGCGUGGGGAGCAAACAGG